UUUUUGAAUACUAUUUUUAGUGUUAGAUUGUAAAUCUAAUUUAGGCUUUAUUGUCUCAAAAUA
rnacentral:tRNA from 1 species